CAGCCGCCGCGGGAAUACGAGGGGGGCAAGCGUUGUUCGGAAUUAUUGGGCGUAAAGGGUGCGUAGGCGGCUUGACAAGUCUUGUGUGAAAUCUAUGGGCUCAACCCAUAGUCUGCACGGGAAACUGUCGGGCUUGAGAAUGGGAGAGGUGAGUGGAAUUUCCGGUGUAGCGGUGAAAUGCGUAGAUAUCGGAAGGAACACCUGUGGCGAAAGCGGCUCACUGGACCAUUUCUGACGCUGAUGCACGAAAGCUAGGGGAGCAAGCAGGAUUAGAGACCCGCGUAGUCCCUGUCUCUUAUAC
rnacentral:rRNA from 1 species